UACGUAGGCAGCGAGCGUUGUUCGGAGUUACUGGGCGUAAAGGGUGUGUAGGCGGUUGUUUAAGUUUGGGGUGAAAUCUCCCGGCUCAACUGGGAGGGUGCGCCGAAUACUGAAUGACUUGGAGUGCGGGAGAGGUGAGUGGAAUUCCUGGUGUAGCGGUGAAAUGCGUAGAUAUCAGGAGGAACACCGGUGGUGUAGACGGCUCACUGGACCGUAACUGACGCCGAGACACGAAAGCGUGGGUAGCAAACAGG
rnacentral:rRNA from 1 species